rnacentral:misc_RNA from 1 species
GGUCGCUCUCCUUCUUGGGCACUUCCCCGUCAAAUUUUCAGUCUAUUACUCUUACAAUCAUGAUUGCAUUUCUAGUUGGUGAGGGUUCAUUUGGAGAGCAGAGAGAGUGAGGCAGUGAGCCAAUGAAUAAACGAUUAGAGCUCAAAAUCAAACUGCUGGCCGAGCAAGGAUACGUGCUCCUGUCGCCUAAACGAACUAAAGCAAUCCGUCGUCAGCAAAUUAGAAUCAGCCUACGUGCCGUUGGCAGAGAACGCUUUGUCGUUUCUUUAAACAAGUGGUUGUGUUUCUCCACAAAGACCGCAAUCAUAAAAAACUAUACUUCGUCGUUUUAAUUGGCGAUAUCGCCUUAGGGUUUUUGACAGUGACUUCGUUCUCUUUCCCUCUCAUCAGGGGAAAAAAAAAUUUCUCUAAUUGCUUGUUCUCUGCUUGCGGUGAGGGCUAAACCAUAGAAGGCAAAGCACCCGAGUUCCCGUCUCCUGAAUCUCAAGCCAAAAAAAAAUGGCAACUCUUGCUGAUUCUUUCCUGGCGGACCUCGAUGAGUUAUCUGACAAUGAUGCUGAUCUUAUAGAGGAAGAUGACGUUGAUGCUGGAAACAUGGAGGAAGACGUUGAUGGGGACAUGGCAGACGUUGAAACUCUUAAUUAUGAUGAUUUGGAUUGUGUUUCUAAAUUGCAGAAAACACAGAGAUACAGUGAUAUAAUGCAGAAAGUGGAAGAUGCUUUGGAGAAGGGUUCUGAUAUCUCAAAUCAGGGUUUGGUACUAGAAGACGAUCCUGAAUAUCAGCUUAUUGUGGAUUGCAAUGCCUUAUCAGUUGACAUUGAGAAUGAAAUAAUUAUAAUCCACAAUUUUAUCCGUGACAAGUACCGAUUGAAAUUUCCCGAGCUUGAAUCACUUGUCCACCAUCCGAUCGAUUAUGCACGUGUGGUGAAGAAGAUUGGAAAUGAGAUGGAUUUGACCCUUGUAGACCUAGAAGGGUUUUUACCCUCGGCUAUUAUUAUGGUGGUCUCAGUGACAGCAUCAACAACAAGUGGCAAGCCACUUCCUGAGGAAGUCCUUCAAAAGACGAUUGAUGCAUGCGAUCGAGCUCUUGCUCUUGAUGCUGCAAAGAAAAAGGUCCUUGAUUUUGUAGAGAGCAGAAUGGGAUACAUUGCACCGAAUCUUUCUGCUAUUGUUGGGAGUGCUGUUGCAGCAAAGCUAAUGGGAACAGCUGGUGGUCUUUCAGCAUUGGCCAAGAUGCCUGCUUGUAAUGUUCAGCUUCUUGGUGCCAAGAAGAAGAACCUGGCAGGAUUUUCCACGGCAACAUCUCAAUUUCGUGUAGGUUAUAUUGAGCAAACAGAGGUAUUUCAGACCACUCCGCCUGCUCUGAGAAUGCGUGCUUGCCGACUAUUGGCUGCAAAAUCAACCCUGGCAGCACGGGUAGAUUCUACCAGGGGGGAUCCAUCAGGAAACACUGGAAGAGCUCUUCGGGAAGAGAUUUGUAAGAAAAUAGAGAAGUGGCAGGAGCCUCCUCCUGCAAAGCAACCUAAACCACUUCCAGUUCCUGAUUCUGAGCCUAAGAAAAAAAGAGGUGGUCGGAGGCUGAGAAAGAUGAAGGAAAGGUACGCUUUGACAGACAUGAGGAAGCUUGCCAAUAGGAUGCAAUUUGGUGUGCCUGAAGAGAGCUCUUUAGGUGAUGGACUUGGGGAAGGUUAUGGAAUGCUUGGUCAAGCUGGAAAUGGCAAGCUGCGUGUAUCUGUUGGUCAGAGCAAGCUCGCUGCAAAAGUUGCAAAGAAAUUCAAGGAGAAGAAUUAUGGAAGUAGCGGUGCCACAUCUGGUCUGACAUCAAGUCUGGCAUUUACACCUGUGCAGGGAAUCGAACUCACAAAUCCACAAGCGCAUGCACAUCAGCUCGGCAGUGGAACCCAGAGUACCUACUUUUCUGAGACUGGAACAUUUUCAAAGAUUAAACCGACAUAAGUUAUGCAAAACCAACAUGAUCAGGCACACCAACUUGGCGGUGGAACUCAAAGUAGUUUUUCUGAUACGAGAACAAAAGCCAUCUUACAUUACCCAACUUGUAGUUGCUUCUACGCCAUAAAUAAUGUAACCAUUAGAUGAACUUGUCACGUGUGCAUUAAGGUUUUGGGAUUACUUAGUCAGGCUAAUAGAGUACAUAUUUUCAGCUCUACAUGCGUAUGUAUUAUUUAGCAUUUUUUUUGUCUUUACCACCUUGUGUCAUUUCUUUCGGCUCUGUAGCUUACUCUGCGUAAUUUUGUCCAGGGCUACGCAACUUGAACCAGCCCAUGACCUAUCUCUAUGCCAAGUAGUUUUUAUAAAUAUAUACAAGAUUAAAA